AACGUACGCUGGCGGCACGCCUAACACAUGCAAGUCGAACGAAGUAGCAAUACUUAGUGGCAGACGGGUGAGUAACAUGUAGGUAUCUGCCCUUUGGCCUGGAAUAACACGAGGAAACUUGUGCUAAUACCGGAUAAGUCUUUACGGAGAAAGCUUUAUGCACCAUUGGAUGAGCCUGCACUUGAUUAGUUUGUUAGUGGGGUAAUGGCCUACCAAGACUGUGAUCAAUAGCUGAUUUGAGAGGAUGAUCAGCCACAUUGGGACUGAGACACGGCCCAAACUCCUACGGGAGGCAGCAGUGGGGAAUCUUGCACAAUGGAGGAAACUCUGAUGCAGCGAUGCCGCGUGAGUGAAGAAGGCCCUUGGGUUGUAAAGCUCUUUCGUCGGGGAAGAAAAUGACUGUACCCGAAUAAGAAGGUCCGGCUAACUUCGUGCCAGCAGCCGCGGUAAUACGAAGGGACCUAGCGUAGUUCGGAAUUACUGGGCUUAAAGAGUUCGUAGGUGGUUGAAAAAGUUAGUGGUGAAAUCCCAGAGCUUAACUCUGGAACUGCCAUUAAAACUUUUCAGCUAGAGUAUGAUAGAGGAAAGCAGAAUUUCUAGUGUAGAGGUGAAAUUCGUAGAUAUUAGAAAGAAUACCAAUUGCGAAGGCAGCUUUCUGGAUCAUUACUGACACUGAGGAACGAAAGCAUGGGUAGCGAAGAGGAUUAGAUACCCUCGUAGUCCAUGCCGUAAACGAUGUGUGUUAGACGUUGGAAAUUUAUUUUCAGUGUCGCAGGGAAACCGAUAAACACACCGCCUGGGGAGUACGACCGCAAGGUUAAAACUCAAAUGAAUUGACGGGGACCCGCACAAGUAGUGGAGCAUGUGGUUUAACUCGAAGAUACGCGCAGAACCUUACCAACACUUGACAUGUUCGUCGCGACUCUAAGAGAUUAGAGUUUUCGGUUCGGCCGGACGAAACACAGGUGCUGCAUGGCUGUCGUCAGCUCGUGUCGUGAGAUGUUGGGUUAAGUCCCGCAACGAGCGCAACCCUCACUUUUAGUUGCCAUCAUUAAGUUGGGCACUCUGAAAGAACUGCCAGUGAUAAGCUGGAGGAAGGUGGGGAUGACGUCAAGUCCUCAUGGCCCUUACGUGUUGGGCUACACACGUGCUACAAUGGUAUCUACAACAGGAAGCAAGACUGCGAAGUUAAGCAAAUCCCUAAAAGAUACCUCAGUUCGGAUUGCACUCUGCAACUCGAGUGCAUGAAGCUGGAAUUACUAGUAAUCGUGGAUCAGCGUGCCACGGUGAAUGCGUUCCCGGGUCU
rnacentral:rRNA from 1 species